rnacentral:lncRNA from 1 species
UCUACUUUUACGCCAUUAAUUCAAUAUAUAUUUAUAUCUUACUAGUUACUAGCAAUAAAUCUAAAACAAACUAGAUAUAUCUACUAUAAAUUUAAGUACCAACUAAAUCAAAGGAAAAUCAUAAUAAACUUAAACAUAGUUUUUUGUUCGCCAUUUUUAAGCUAAUGGCAUUACGAUACCGUUACAAUAAAAGUCUACUAAAUUAAUUAUAAAGCCAAAAACAUGAAUGAUAUCCAAAUCGUGAUCAUCAUAUCUGCAAGAAAAAGGCUAUUGAUUAGACAGAGAGAAUAACCAACCACAAUAUUAAAGAAGUUAUUUAUAAUAUCUAAACAUAACAAUCAUACAAGCUUACGAUUGUAUGUUGUUACGAACUCAAUUUCUCGCAUAUACUCAAACAUCAAUUGUUGUCACGCAUGAUUCGUCGUCUGCAUAGUCAAACAAAUGCAUUCAUUACAUGAUCAUUGUAUUAGAUACUAGAUAGAUAAGAGAAUCUUCAAAAAUAUGGUAAUAGAAAAUAUGAAUCACUUGCCACAACUUUCAUUGAAUCAUCCAAUGCCUCCACUUCAUCUAAAUAUUGGCGCAGCACUAUAGGUUCCUUCUUAGUUUGCAACCAAUUCUUUCCACAUAUACAAGCCUCAACCAUUCGUGCACCUAAUGAACUCCUAAAGGAAUCAAGUAUCCGACCUCCAAUUGAGAAUGCAAACUCAGAAGCAACUGUAGAAAUUGAAUCGCUAAUACAUCUUUGGCAGUUUGGGAGACAAUCUUAUACUUAGGAGCAUUUAUUUUCCACCACAUCAAAAUGUCGAAUGGUUCCUCAGUCAAAUCAUCACAUCGGUCGGACAAGUAAUCUACCAAAUCAUUUUUCUCCAACCUAGCAUCUCGAUUAAGUCUCGCUUUAAAGAUUGAAGGGAUGGGUCUAGAAAUACCCAAAGUAGGUUAUUGACUUUGACUACUAGUUUGAGAUAUCUCAUUUGAUGGUGGAGGCAUCAUUUCCUUGUAGCAGUUAUAUAACCUGUGAAUUGAAUUUUCUACUUUUGCUAACAUUUUCUUAGCAAUUUCUUCAUUAUACAUGAUUUCAAAGCCAACUUUAAGUAAUUCCAACUUGCAUCUCGGGUCAAGAAUUGUUGCUAUGAAUAACAAAUCAUUAAACUUUUCACGAUUGCCCCAAUACUUAUCAUGUUUUCUUCGCAUGCUAAUAGCCAUUUUUCCCAUCAAACUAUUAGGAUCUUUAGCUAAUUCAUUCAACUCCCCAUGAAUUUCACAAAGCUCUUGAAAAAAAAUGUUAGAUGUUACAUAUAAAGAGCCACUAACUUUCAAUGCCAUAUCAUAGAAUGUUUUAAGAAACUUCACAAAAAUUUGUGCUUGAUCCCAAUUGAAUGGAGUGGGUGAACCAUUUCUUUCAUCGCCUCUUCUCUCUUCAUCAAAGUACUUUGUGUAAUUUGCAUCACUUUCUGAAGCACCAAAUGCUUUUCUAAAUUUCAUUGCAGUGUCUAACAUCAAGUAGGUAGAAUUCCAUCUAGUAGUCACAUCUAAACACAACAAAGCUUGAGACUCGAUGUUAACCUCCUUGCAACUCUCCCUGAACCUUUUCAAUCGUGACGGGGAAGACCUAGUAAACCUUACAGCAUUGCGAAUUGAUGAAAUAGAACUACUAAUUUCUUUUAGACCAUCACAAACAAUGAGAUUGAGAAUAUGAGCACAACACCUCAUAUGAAGCAUUUCUCCAUCAAGAAUUAGACCAUGUUUAGUCUCCUGAAAACUCUCUUUCAAUUUCGAUAUUGCAACAUCAUUAGAUGAGGCGUUACCGACAGUCACACAAAAAAUCUUUUUAAUUCCCCAAUCAUGAAGACAAGAAAUUAACUCCUUAGCCACCAUAUUACCCUUAUGACUGGGAACUUGAAUGCAGCUUAUAAUACGUUUUUGAAGGAUCCAAUCAUCAUCAACCCAAUGAGCAGUCAAACACAUGUAACUAAUAUUUUGGAUGGAUGUCCAACAAUCAGUAGCUAAACAAAUCCUAUGUCUACUCAAUUCUUUCUUUAAUUUAUUCUUUUCAUCGAGGUACAAUUGAUAUAUAUCUUUUGCCACUGUAACUCUUGAAGGAAAUUCAAAUGUUGGAAAAAAAUACUUUGUAUAUAAUCGAAAACCUUCAUCUUGUACAUGUCUAAAUGGUAACUCUGCCAAUAAGAAGUACUUAGCAAUCAUUUCUCUAGUCCCUUUUUGAGUGAACUUAACAACUUGUCCAGAACUAGUAAUGCCUUCUAAAACAUCAUUUUUAGAUUUAGUGUAAUAACUCAUAGUCUUUUGCUUUUUCUCUGGAACCCUAUCUGGAUAUUUCUUACAUAAGCACUCAAUAUGAUUUCGCAAUGUACUAGUCCCUGCAUUUUUGUUGCCAUACUUGUAAAGUUGCCCACAGUAAAUACACUCUGCCUUUUCAUCAUGCAGUUUAAAAUGAUCCCAAACAUCAGAUCUUUUACCUCCCUUUUUACCCUUAGUGGAAUCUGGGUAUUGAUCAACUUCUACACUAUCAACAGCUACAUUUGGCUCAAGAUAAUUUUCUUCUUCAGAAAGGUCAACAUGAUCCAUAUUUGUGAUUCUAACAAUUGCAGAUUAAAAUAUAGAUAGCAUUAAUAUGUAAAUCUAGUACUCGAUUACAAAAAAUAAAAAAUAAAAGUAAAUAUUGCAGUCAUCCAAUAUUUUUGAGUAUACCAAAUUGUGUUUGUUUCCAGUGCAGCGUAGUUUCCCCGUUGACAGUUAGAAAAAAAAAAAAAAAGAAUACGAACUCCUGCAAAAGAAAUGUACAAUAAUGAGUAGUAGAAGAUAGAAACAUAAUUAUAGAAUAAACGAGAAAAGUACAUGGAUUCAAAGUUGGAUGGAAAUCCUCUUCGUAGCCGUUAGUUGGUACUAAAACAAUUUUUUGUUAGUAAAAUUGCAAAAU